rnacentral:misc_RNA from 1 species
CCGAGUUUACAACUCCCAAACCCAAUGUGAACGUUACCAAACUGUUGCCUCGGCGGGAUCUCUGCCCCGGGUGCGUCGCAGCCCCGGACCAAGGCGCCCGCCGGAGGACCAACCAAAACUCUUAUUGUAUACCCCCUCGCGGGUUUUUUUUUAUAAUCUGAGCCUUCUCGGCGCCUCUCGUAGGCGUUUCGAAAAUGAAUCA